GGUUAAGCGACUAAGCGUACACGGUGGAUGCCCUGGCAGUCAGAGGCGAUGAAGGACGUGCUAAUCUGCGAAAAGCGUCGGUAAGGUGAUAUGAACCGUUAUAACCGGCGAUGUCCGAAUGGGGAAACCCAGUGUGUUUCGACACACUAUCAUUAACUGAAUCCAUAGGUUAAUGAGGCGAACCGGGGGAACUGAAACAUCUAAGUACCCCGAGGAAAAGAAAUCAACCGAGAUUCCCCCAGUAGCGGCGAGCGAACGGGGAGGAGCCCAGAGCCUGAAUCAGUGUGUGUGUUAGUGGAAGCGUCUGGAAAGGCGCGCGAUACAGGGUGACAGCCCCGUACACAAAAAUGCACAUGCUGUGAGCUCGAUGAGUAGGGCGGGACACGUGGUAUCCUGUCUGAAUAUGGGGGGACCAUCCUCCAAGGCUAAAUACUCCUGACUGACCGAUAGUGAACCAGUACCGUGAGGGAAAGGCGAAAAGAACCCCGGCGAGGGGAGUGAAAAAGAACCUGAAACCGUGUACGUACAAGCAGUGGGAGCCCUGAUUUAUCAGGGUGACUGCGUACCUUUUGUAUAAUGGGUCAGCGACUUAUAUUCUGUAGCAAGGUUAACCGAAUAGGGGAGCCGGAGGGAAACCGAGUCUUAACUGGGCGUUAAGUUGCAGGGUAUAGACCCGAAACCCGGUGAUCUAGCCAUGGGCAGGUUGAAGGUUGGGUAACACUAACUGGAGGACCGAACCGACUAAUGUUGAAAAAUUAGCGGAUGACUUGUGGCUGGGGGUGAAAGGCCAAUCAAACCGGGAGAUAGCUGGUUCUCCCCGAAAGCUAUUUAGGUAGCGCCUCGUGAAUUCAUCUCCGGGGGUAGAGCACUGUUUCGGCAAGGGGGUCAUCCCGACUUACCAACCCGAUGCAAACUGCGAAUACCGGAGAAUGUUAUCACGGGAGACACACGGCGGGUGCUAACGUCCGUCGUGAAGAGGGAAACAACCCAGACCGCCAGCUAAGGUCCCAAAGUCAUGGUUAAGUGGGAAACGAUGUGGGAAGGCCCAGACAGCCAGGAUGUUGGCUUAGAAGCAGCCAUCAUUUAAAGAAAGCGUAAUAGCUCACUGGUCGAGUCGGCCUGCGCGGAAGAUGUAACGGGGCUAAACCAUGCACCGAAGCUGCGGCAGCGACACUGUGUGUUGUUGGGUAGGGGAGCGUUCUGUAAGCCUGCGAAGGUGUGCUGUGAGGUAUGCUGGAGGUAUCAGAAGUGCGAAUGCUGACAUAAGUAACGAUAAAGCGGGUGAAAAGCCCGCUCGCCGGAAGACCAAGGGUUCCUGUCCAACGUUAAUCGGGGCAGGGUGAGUCGACCCCUAAGGCGAGGCCGAAAGGCGUAGUCGAUGGGAAACAGGUUAAUAUUCCUGUACUUGGUGUUACUGCGAAGGGGGGACGGAGAAGGCUAUGUUGGCCGGGCGACGGUUGUCCCGGUUUAAGCGUGUAGGCUGGUUUUCCAGGCAAAUCCGGAAAAUCAAGGCUGAGGCGUGAUGACGAGGCACUACGGUGCUGAAGCGACAAAUGCCCUGCUUCCAGGAAAAGCCUCUAAGCAUCAGGUAACAUCAAAUCGUACCCCAAACCGACACAGGUGGUCAGGUAGAGAAUACCAAGGCGCUUGAGAGAACUCGGGUGAAGGAACUAGGCAAAAUGGUGCCGUAACUUCGGGAGAAGGCACGCUGAUAUGUAGGUGAAGCGACUUGCUCGUGGAGCUGAAAUCAGUCGAAGAUACCAGCUGGCUGCAACUGUUUAUUAAAAACACAGCACUGUGCAAACACGAAAGUGGACGUAUACGGUGUGACGCCUGCCCGGUGCCGGAAGGUUAAUUGAUGGGGUCAGCGCAAGCGAAGCUCUUGAUCGAAGCCCCGGUAAACGGCGGCCGUAACUAUAACGGUCCUAAGGUAGCGAAAUUCCUUGUCGGGUAAGUUCCGACCUGCACGAAUGGCGUAAUGAUGGCCAGGCUGUCUCCACCCGAGACUCAGUGAAAUUGAACUCGCUGUGAAGAUGCAGUGUACCCGCGGCAAGACGGAAAGACCCCGUGAACCUUUACUAUAGCUUGACACUGAACACUGGUCCUUGAUGUGUAGGAUAGGUGGGAGGCUUUGAAGUGUGGACGCCAGUCUGCAUGGAGCCGUCCUUGAAAUACCACCCUUUAAUGGCUGGUGUUCUAACGUGGGCCCGUAAUCCGGGUUGCGGACAGUGUCUGGUGGGUAGUUUGACUGGGGCGGUCUCCUCCUAAAGAGUAACGGAGGAGUACGAAGGUUGGCUAAUCCUGGUCGGACAUCAGGAGGUUAGUGCAAUGGCAUAAGCCAGCUUGACUGCGAGCGUGACGGCGCGAGCAGGUGCGAAAGCAGGUCAUAGUGAUCCGGUGGUUCUGAAUGGAAGGGCCAUCGCUCAACGGAUAAAAGGUACUCCGGGGAUAACAGGCUGAUACCGCCCAAGAGUUCAUAUCGACGGCGGUGUUUGGCACCUCGAUGUCGGCUCAUCACAUCCUGGGGCUGAAGUAGGUCCCAAGGGUAUGGCUGUUCGCCAUUUAAAGUGGUACGCGAGCUGGGUUUAGAACGUCGUGAGACAGUUCGGUCCCUAUCUGCCGUGGGCGCUGGAGAACUGAGGGGGGCUGCUCCUAGUACGAGAGGACCGGAGUGGACGCAUCACUGGUGUUCGGGUUGUCAUGCCAAUGGCACUGCCCGGUAGCUAAAUGCGGAAGAGAUAAGUGCUGAAAGCAUCUAAGCACGAAACUUGCCCCGAGAUGAGUUCUCCCUGAGACUUAGAGUCUCCUGAAGGAACGUUGAAGACGACGACGUUGAUAGGCCGGGUGUGUAAGCGCAGCGAUGCGUUGAGCUAACCGGUACUAAUGAACCGUGAGGCUUAACCUU
rnacentral:rRNA from 1 species